AUUGAACGCUGGCGGCAUGCCUUACACAUGCAAGUCGAACGGUAACAGGUCUUCGGAUGCUGACGAGUGGCGAACGGGUGAGUAAUACAUCGGAACGUGCCCGAUCGUGGGGGAUAACGGAGCGAAAGCUUUGCUAAUACCGCAUACGAUCUACGGAUGAAAGCAGGGGACCGCAAGGCCUUGCGCGGACGGAGCGGCCGAUGGCAGAUUAGGUAGUUGGUGGGAUAAAAGCUUACCAAGCCGACGAUCUGUAGCUGGUCUGAGAGGACGACCAGCCACACUGGGACUGAGACACGGCCCAGACUCCUACGGGAGGCCGCAGUGGGGAAUUUUUGACAAUGGGCGAAAGCCUGAUCCAGCCAUGCCGCGUGCAGGAUGAAGGCCUUCGGGUUGUAAACUGCUUUUGUACGGAACGAAAAGCCUCUUUCUAAUAAAGAGAGGUCAUGACGGUACCGUAAGAAUAAGCACCGGCUAACUACGUGCCAGCAGCCGCAGUAACAC
rnacentral:rRNA from 1 species